rnacentral:snRNA from 1 species
AUCUUUGCGCUUGGGGCAAUGACGCAGCUAGUGAGGUUAUAACCGAGGCGCGUUUAUUGCUGGUUGAAAACUAUUUCCAAACCCCCUCUUUGGCUUGACUUUCGCUCAAGCCUUUGAGAAUUUUGCAAGAUAGAUGAUAU